rnacentral:rRNA from 1 species
UAAGGGUUCGAUUCCGGAGAGGGAGCCUGAGAAACGGCUACCACAUCCAAGGAAGGCAGCAGGCGCGCAAAUUACCCAAUCCCGACACGGGGAGGUAGUGACAAUAAAUAACGAUACAGGGCCCUUUUGGGUCUUGUAAUUGGAAUGAGUACAAUGUAAAUACCUUAACGAGGAACAAUUGGAGGGCAAGUCUGGUGCCAGCAGCCGCGGUAAUUCCAGCUCCAAAAGCGUAUAUUAAAGUUGUUGCAGUUAAAAAGCUGGUAGUUGAACCUUGGGCUUGCCUGGCCGGUCCAUCUUUUUGAUGCGUACUGGACCCAGCCGAGCCUUUCCUUCUGGCUAGCCAUUUAUGGCGAACCAGGACUUUUACUUUGAAAAAAUUAGAGUGUUCAAAGCAGGCCUUUGCUCGAAUAUAUUAGCAUGGAAUAAUAGAAUAGGACGUUAUGGUUCUAUUUUGUUGGUUUCUAGGACCAUCGUAAUGAUUAAUAGGGACGGUCGGGGGUAUCAG